GACGAACGCUGGCGGCGUGCUUAACACAUGCAAGUCGAACGGUAAGGCCCUUCGGGGUACACGAGUGGCGAACGGGUGAGUAACACGUGGGUGAUCUGCCCUGCACUUCGGGAUAAGCCUGGGAAACUGGGUCUAAUACCGGAUAGGACCACUGCCUGCAUGGGUGGUGGUGGAAAGCUUUUGCGGUGUGGGAUGGGCCCGCGGCCUAUCAGCUUGUCGGUGGGGUUAUAGCCUACCAAGGCGACGACGGGUAGCCGGCCUGAGAGGGUGACCGGCCACACUGGGACUGAGAUACGGCCCAGACUCCUACGGGAGGCAGCAGUGGGGAAUAUUGCACAAUGGGCGCAAGCCUGAUGCAGCGACGCCGCGUGAGGGAUGACGGCCUUCGGGUUGUAAACCUCUUUCAGCACCGACGAAGCGCAAGUGACGGUAGGUGCAGAAGAAGGACCGGCCAACUACGUGCCAGCAGCCGCCGUAA
rnacentral:rRNA from 1 species